rnacentral:rRNA from 1 species
AUUGAACGCUGGCGGCAUGCCUUACACAUGCAAGUCGAACGGCAGCACGGGAGCAAUCCUGGUGGCGAGUGGCGGACGGGUGAGUAAUAUAUCGGAACGUGCCCAGUCGUGGGGGAUAACGCAGCGAAAGCUGUGCUAAUACCGCAUACGAUCUACGGAUGAAAGCGGGGGAUCGCAAGACCUUGCGCGAUUGGAGCGGCCGAUAUCAGAUUAGCUAGUUGGUGAGGUAAAGGCUCACCAAGGCGACGAUCUGUAGCUGGUCUGAGAGGACGACCAGCCACACUGGAACUGAGACACGGUCCAGACUCCUACGGGAGGCAGCAGUGGGGAAUUUUGGACAAUGGGCGCAAGCCUGAUCCAGCAAUGCCGCGUGCAGGAUGAAGGCCUUCGGGUUGUAAACUGCUUUUGUACGGAACGAAACGGUGAGCUCUAAUACAGUUUGCUAGUGACGGUACCGUAAGAAUAAGCACCGGCUAACUACGUGCCAGCCGCCGCCGUAACAC